AAUGUCAAACAAAUGCAAUUAUGAGGUAGAAAGUAACGGUAAAAUCACACCAAAAGUUGAGAUUUUACAAUAAAUACAAGAGGAUCACCAAUCUCAAGCAACCGUUAAAGCUUUCCAGAGAUAAUUCCCAGGGGUCAAUGAUUUGCCCGAAUUAAUUGAUACUUUGGUAAAUUGGCACUAUCGUUCAAUUAAUGCAAUGAAGAAAAGCACCCUGAUCUCCUCAAUUCAAGCAGAGAAUGGUGAAUGUUUAAGAAAGGCGUGCAGAUGGCGGGUGUGUUGUGACAAAAAAAGCUCGCUUCUUACAUGCUUCGGUAUCUGCAGUAAUAUAUAUAUAUAUAUAUUUAUUUAUUUAACAGAUUCAACCAAAUACAAGCUGUUCCGGACUGAUAUUUUUUUUUUCUCCUAAUACUCCUAUCAAUAAAGUAAUGUCUAUAAUUGCAGGCGGAUCAGUGAAAUAAUUGUUUUUCUAGUGAGCCAUUCUAUUGAUAGCGGUAAAUCCCCAGUGAGUAUCAGCAGCAACAAAUCCCUCUCUACGUUAUCAUAAGCAACAAUUUUAGUGUCAUAAAUGCGAAAAGUUGAUAAUAAACCAUGCGGUUUUUCUCGUCUCCGAGAUUGGGAUUCCAUUCAUGGAAAGUCGAUGUCAACCGGCUCUUAGUAGUAAGAAAAGCGUCAAUAAUGUAUGUCCACGGUCAAAUAUCCGUUGAGAGCAAAAUCAUGUUUUUCUACUGUAUACCUACGUAAACGAAUAAAAUAAUUACAAAAAUGAAAAUUUUAAUUUAUUUAUCGAUUUUUUUUUUUUUUGGGAAAAAGACUUAUUGCUUUGUUUCGAACGAUUUUUAAUUUCUAUUUAUUUGAAAAUGUAAUAACUUGUUUUAUUUAGGCGGAUUUAAUAGCUGCUGAGCAAAUACUAAUUCUGUUGAUGUUAUUGCUAAAUGAUAUCGCUUGUUUUAUUCCGAUGAAAAUUUUUGAAAAUUCGGUCGUUAAAAGUCAUGUUUUUGCAACAUGAAUCAAAAUAAUUGUUUAUGGAAAAGUAAUGUCGCAAAUGCCUAAACAAAGGGCAGUGCAUGUUUUUAUCACUC